UAAUGCAUCGGAACAUGUCCAUGUCGUGGGGGGAUAGCCCGGCGAAAGCCGGAUUAAUACCGCAUACGCCCGAGAGGGGAAAGUGGGGGACCGCAAGGCCUCACGCGAUUGGGUUGGCCGAUGUCCGAUUAGCUAGUUGGCGGGGUAAGAGCCCACCAAGGCGAUGAUCGGUAGCUGGUCUGAGAGGAUGAUCAGCCACACUGGGACUGAGACACGGCCCAG
rnacentral:rRNA from 1 species